CAGACCCACACACCCACACUCCCCUCACAUACAUCCACACUCCCCUCACACACACGCAUUACACACUCCCCUCACGUACAUCCACACUCCCCUCACACACACUACACACACAUUACAUACACUCCCCCCACACACUCCCCUCACAUACAUUCACACUCCCCUCAUACACACACAUUACACACUCCCCCACACAGACCCACACACCCACACUCCCCUCACAUACAUCCACACUCCCCUCACACACACCACACACACAUUACAUACACUCCCCCACACACACAGACCCACACACCCACACUCCCCUCACAUACAUCCACACUCCCCUCACACACACACACACUCCCCCCCACACACAGACCCACACACCCCUCACAUACAUCCACGCUCCCUUAACACACACACACUACAUACACUCCCCCUACAUACACUCCCCUCACACACCCACAGUCCCCUCACAUACAUCCACACUCCCCUCACACACACGCAUUACACACUCCCUUCACGUACAUCCACACUCCCCUCACACACACCACACACACACAUUACAUACACUCCCCCCACACACACUCCCCUCACAUACAUCCACACUCCCCUCAAACACACCACACACAAUUACACACUCCCCUCACACACAUCCACACUCCCCUCACACACACACAUUACACACUCCCCCACACAGACCCACACACCCACACUCCCCUCACAUACAUCCACACUCCCCUCACACACACCACACACACACCCACAGUCCCCUCACAUACAUCCACACUCCCCUCACACAUACACACAUUACACACACUGCGCUCACACAUAUCCACACUCCCCUCACACACACCACACACAUUACAUACACUCUCCCUACACACACUCCCCUCACACACACCACACACAUAUUACACACACUUUCCUCACAUACACACUCCCCUUACACACUACACACACACACUUCCCCUACACACACCCCCACACUACACACACUCCCCUCACAUAUACAUACACUACACACUCCCCUCAGGCACACACACUACACACCACCCACACUCCCACACACACUACACACCACCCACACUCCCACACACACACCUAUCACCCACACUCCCUCCCACACACACACCACACACUCCCUUCACACACUACACACUCCCCUCACACAUUCCACACACACACCCCACACAUUACACACACUCGCCUCAUGCACACACCCCACACACUACACAUAGUCCCCUCAUACACUACACACCACACUCCUUGACACACACACACUCUCCCUACACACACAUCCACACACCCAUACCCCUCAGCACACACACACGCCCCCAUACACCUACAUACACCACACACAUUCAUUCACCACACAUACACACUCACCCCACACCCCAUACAUACAUACACACACACACACACACAAGCUGUAAAGCAGUGGGACUUUCACAUGUGAGAUGCCCACAUAAGUGCCCCUGAGAGGCAGCUGCAUCUCAACACCGCGGACCCUAAUGACCUGGCUCCCUCCC
rnacentral:lncRNA from 10 species